AAGGAGUCAGGCAGUGCAAUGGGCAACAUUUUACCUGGAGAGGCAGAUGAACUUCAAAAGUGACUACUUGUUCAAUGUCAGUGAUUAUUCUAAAAAACAAUUUCCAAAGAAAGGUUUCGAAAAGCUUAAGCGUCUGUUACAUAUUUGCCCAAACCAAAGAAGGCAGGAAGACAUUCUAAAGAUACAAGCAUGUUUGAAGACAAACAGAGCCUUUCAGUGCUUGCCUAGCAAAACACAAC